GAAUGAACGCUGGCGGCAUGCCUAACACAUGCAAGUCGAACGAGACCUUCGGGUCUAGUGGCGCACGGGUGCGUAACGCGUGGGAAUCUGCCCUUGGGUUCGGAAUAACAGUUAGAAAUGACUGCUAAUACCGAAUGAUGUCGUAAGACCAAAAGAUUCAUCGCCCAGGGAUGAGCCCGCGUAGGAUUAGCUAGUUGGUGGGGUAACGCCCACCAANCCAACGAUCAGAACUGGUGUGAGAGCACGACCAGUCACACGGGCACUGAGA
rnacentral:rRNA from 1 species